UACUUUGCUUUAGAUGGAGUGAUUCAUGAAACGGUCAUAUGAUAAAGGUAUUACAUGGACAGAAAGAGAACAACUUCCGCCUGGUAUAUUAGGACCUAUAAAAAAUAAGGUGAAACCAUAAACCACUCAAAACAGUACUCAAUAGCAUGCAAAAUUAAUAUACUAUAUUCUAUGAAAGUGAAAAUGUUGAAGCUGGGUAUAAAAUAGAACACUAAUACUUUGCCAUUUUGCACAAUAGCAUGCAAAAAACAUGCAAGAGAGGUAGUAAAUUGAAAAUUACUAGUAUUCUAUUGGUUCACAAGUAUUUCUAGGCUUUUUGGCAAGCAUGAGUUGUGUGGAGAAAAUUUGUGGUGGCUAAGCAUUUGUUGAGUAUAUCACUUCUACCCGAUUAUCAUGUAAAUUUUAAUAGUCAACCUUGUUCAAGAUAUGGGAGAGGGAAUGUGUCUUUUGGCUCAAAGUCACGCCCAGUUCGUUACAUGUGCGUGACACAGUUCCAUCUCACUUUGCCAUACGGCACUUUGCCACAAGAAUUCUCAUCCACACCACCUCUUUCUACUGAUGCAGUAGUUGGUUUUCAUGACUCAAAACUUGUAAGCUCUCUUCAACACUACUUGCCAUGUGAUUGUGAUUGAUCUCACCUUCUUAAUGUUUUUUAAUUAAUCAUAUAUGUGGAUAGUUGAUUUUGUAUACUUUCAGGAACCUCUUAAAAGUUUUCCACAGUUGCUAGUAAUGGCUCAUGAGUUAGGAAUACUUACAAAUAUUAACACAUUAUCUCAUAUGUUUAGACGAAGAAAGUGAAAAACAUAGCUAGUAAAAUAAAAAGAACACAACUCUGACAUACUUUGUAAUUCCAUUCUUUCAUGGAUGACAUUAAAGUAAGCUUCCAGCUUGUUGUAAACAGUUUCUCUAUCUUAAGAUUUGUACAAGUGAAGAUGUGUAUACAAUGCUUUCUCUUUUAACAUUUUGUUUACCUUUACAUUGAGACAGUGUAAUGAAGUGAAGAUGUGUAUACGUCUUAUGGUAUCUGGCGUACCUGCUACGGUGGAGCACCGAGCCAUUGCGGCAACAGGCACGUCCACCUUGGCUGCCUUUAUGGCCAAGUGUGUUUAGAAUUUCAUUAAAGCAAUGGAUUUGUUGAAAUUGAACAUGGUAGUUGUGGAUUAGGUGCAUCCUUUGCUCUCAAACCUUUAUGGUUCACUUAACAAAUUGACGAUUUUGUCGUCGGGUGUUGAGGGGAAAAUAAAAAUGAAGGAUUGGACUGAUUUAUGUACCAGAACAGUGGCGUAGAGGAGCAUCAAAUGAACCAAGCAUCAAAUGAACCAAAAAACAAGUGAAGAUAUACCGAAUUCUGAAGAAAUGUUGCCAAAACAAAAGCCAAAGAAGAAGAAGAAAACUUAUAUAUGAAGAAAGUGUUAUGACUUAGUUAAAAUAUAAUUUUUAUGUGUAUGAUUUUAUAGUACUUGACAUAU